ensembl:lincRNA Gm26830 predicted gene, 26830
GAUCUUGAGUUCCAGUCCCACAUGGGCUACCUAGUAAGACCUUGUCUCUAAAACGUUAGAGGAGAGGGAAGGAGGGAGGGAGGCUCUUCCCUGGGUGCACAAGACAUCUCCACAACACCUCCAAAUGUUAGAGAAACAGCUAUUAGAUCCUGGGCAAGCUGCCCGUGGUGGUAUAUACCAGUAGUCCCAGCACUCGGAAGGUAAAGGCAGGCAAAUCUCUUGAGUUCAAAGCCAGCUUGGUUUACAUGGUGAGUCCAGGAUAGCCAAGGCUACAUAGUAAGAACCUACCUUGAAAAAAAAAAAAAAGGAAACAAGCCAGGCGGUGAUUUGUGCAUAGGUUUAAGCCCUUAUCCUCAGGAAGCAGAAACAAGCAGAUUUCUUGAGCUCCAGGCCAACCUGGUGGACAGAACAAAUUCCAGGGCAGUCCGAGCUACAGAGUAAGAACUUAUCUUGAACAAAACAAAACAAAAACACAGAAGGAUGCCAGGCAGAGUGAUUGCUUCCUUAUAUUCCCAGUGCUGGCAGGGGAGGGAUGAGGCUGAGUUCUGGGCUGAUCUGAACGAUAGCCUGGGACCCUGUCUCAAGAGAAAGAAAAAGAAAGAAGGAAAGAGACCAGACAGUGGGAACGUCUAUGUUUUAGGGUUCCCAUAAGGAUCCUGCUUCUGGGAACAUCAGGUUCAGUUAGAGCCGGUAUGUACAUGUUGGCCCAGGAUGAUCUCCGAUUAUAGAACUCUGGGGAGGUGAUUCCUGGAAGUGUGCUGGUGGGAGUUGGGGGUGGAUAUGGGGGACUUUUGGUAUAGCAUUGGAAAUGUAAAUGAGCUAAAUACCUAAUAAAAAAUGGAAAAAAAAAUAAAUUGUAGGCUGGUAAAUUGAUCCUGGUACCAAGCCUGAGUUUAAUCUCCAGAACCCACAUUGUAGAAGCAGAGAACUGAGUCCUGCAAGCAGUCCUCGGAUCCCACAUGUGUGAUGGUGUGCACUCAUACACAAGCAC